rnacentral:sRNA from 1 species
GCCACCUAUUGGUCGCAGGUUCGAAUCUGCUCAAGAGCGAGGCCAUUGGUCUAAAGGCGCGCUUUGUGAGCGAGUC